UGCAUUUGAUAUAAGCCAUUUAGAGAAAACUAUAUGCGCUAGUAUUUUAUUGAUAUCUUAUGAAAACAAUUUGUAGUCAGGAUUUAAAGUAAUUUUAAAUUAUCUUGGAUUGUAAACCAGCAUAUUAAAACAAAUUAAAAUGAUGUCUAUGAAUACACAUGAAAACAAAAACCAGGAGAAACGAGAUCCAUCGCAAAGGUAUUUCCAGGAGUUAAUCUGCAAAAUUUGCAGAAACUGUCUAAGUAAUUUGCUGUAUUUUCCUUGUCGCCAUUUAUGUACUUGUCAGUCCUGUGGUGAACAGUUGAAAAGGUGUAUAGAUUGCAAUGCUGUAAUAAAAGCAACACUGAUUGUACAAUAUAGCUGUUAAAACUAUGUGAUGAAUUAUAAUUGAUGUGUAAGAGAAUAAGCCAGAGACAAAACCAUGUAUUUUAAGUAUUUAGCAAAAUUAAACAAAUGCAAUGUUAAAUCAAUUUUGUAAUUAUUUCUUUAGAGCGCAACAGCUCGUUCCGAGAGCAAUUAUUAUGUUUUGUA